rnacentral:lncRNA from 1 species
AUCAGAUCUUAAAACUUUAAUAGUUUUGUCUAGCUGAUUUUCUACUUCAGUUUUAUAGGAAAUAAAUUUUGAAUAGCUUUCAUCCUUACUCUUAAGUAGAUAAAUAUAACAAUAUCGAGAAUAAUCGUCAAUGAAAGUUAAGAAAUAUUUAUUUCCACCACGAGUAACAUAUCCUUUUAAGUCACAUAAAUCAGAAUGUAUUAAACUUAAGACCGAAGUAGUCCUAUCAACACGAGGAAAUGGUUUUCUAGAAUAUUUAGAUUCAACACACGUUUCACAUUUUGAAUUUGGACAAUUAUCGAUUUUGGGAAUGUUUCCCAAAGUCAUUAAUUUUUUAAUAGAAGUUUUAUUAACGUGUCCAAGUCUAGCAUGCCACAAAUCAUAAGAAUCCAACAAGUAAACGGAAGAGCUAGAUGUUUUAUUGUUAAUCACAGAGACAUUGAGUUUAAACAGACUCUCAUCUGCAUACCCUUUCCCAACAAAGGAACCACCCUUAGACAGUACAACUUGACCACUUUCAAAUACAAUCUUAAAACCCUUUUUUACUAA